rnacentral:rRNA from 1 species
UACAGAGGGUGCGAGCGUUAAUCGGAAUUACUGGGCGUAAAGCGCGCGUAGGCGGCUUUGCAAGUCGGGUGUGAAAUCCCCAGGCUUAACCUGGGAACUGCAUUCGAGACUGCAUUGCUAGAGUAUGGGAGAGGGAAGUGGAAUUUCCGGUGUAGCGGUGAAAUGCGUAGAUAUUCGGAAGAACACCAGUGGCGAAGGCGGCUCACUGGCCCGGUACUGACGCUGAGGUGCGAAAGCGUGGGGAGCAAACAGG